UACGUAGGGCGCAAGCGUUGUCCGGAAUUAUUGGGCGUAAAGAGCUCGUAGGCGGUUUGUCGCGUCUGCUGUGAAAACCUGAGGCUCAACCUCGGGCUUGCAGUGGGUACGGGCAGACUAGAGUGCGGUAGGGGAGACUGGAAUUCCUGGUGUAGCGGUGAAAUGCGCAGAUAUCAGGAGGAACACCGGUGGCGAAGGCGGGUCUCUGGGCCGAUACUGACGCUGAGGAGCGAAAGCGUGGGGAGCGAACAGG
rnacentral:rRNA from 1 species